rnacentral:rRNA from 1 species
UACAGGGGGGGCAAGCGUUGUUCGGAAUUACUGGGCGUAAAGGGCUCGUAGGUGGCCAACUAAGUCGGACGUGAAAUCCCUCGGCUUAACCGGGGAACUGCGUCUGAUACUGGAUGGCUUGAGUGUGGGAGAGGGAUGCGGAAUUCCAGGUGUAGCGGUGAAAUGCGUAGAUAUCUGGAGGAACACCGGUGGCGAAGGCGGCCUUCUGGACAGUGACUGACGCUGAGACGCGAAAGCGUGGGGAGCAAACAGG